AUUAGAUGGUAGACAAGUUUUAGAGACUGAAGCAGAGUUAAAAUAAAAUGGAAAGAAGAAAAUCAAUUAAUGAACAAUAAUCAAACAUAGGCCAUUGAGUUAAAAGAAGAUGGAAAAUAAACUCCCUAGUGGAUAUAUUUCUUAAUUUGUUCAGUUAACUCUAGUUUUCUUGUACAGUGAGCAUAUUAGUGAAAUCAAACGAUUGCAUCGCAAACGCCGCCUUACCCAACAUCAGCUUAAUCGCUUGCAUUUUGAAAAUUCUCAUGAAUGGUUCAAGGAGCAAGUCAAAGAGUUGGAUCUCAUAUCUAAUAUCUCAAAUGAUGUUAAAGCCCUUGCACAAGGUCCAUGUUACUUCGCAAGAAGAUUCAAGGCAUUCCAUAUGAAUAAUGGGUAUCGAUUUCGUACAAAACAGUAUGAAGAGUUCAUGCAGACACAAAAUAGUGGGGUUCUGGUUGUCUCAAUGACAGAGAGCUAUGCAAGUACUAGUGACAGUGCUCCAAAAUCAGGAAAUAUUACAUAUUAUGGCAGACUGAAUGAUAUUGUUGAGUUGAACUACUAUGAAAAAUUUAAAGUCGUCUUGUUUAAAUGUGAUUGGGUUGAUGUAACUCAAGGUCGAGGAGUUAUGAAAGACGACUUAGGUUUCACACUUGUGAACUUCUCACAUCUAAUACAUUCAGGUGACCGGAUAAGUGAUGAGCCAUUUGUUUUUGCUGGACAAGCUCAGCAAGUGAUAUUUGUUCAAGAUCCUGAAGAUCAUGAAUGGUUUGUCCCUAGGUCAAUUAAACCGUGAAACAUUUUUGAUAAGGGAGAAGAAAAUAGUAAAAAAUUUGACUCAUCAAUGCAGUGUGAUACAACUGAUUUAACUAUCUUAGAAAAUAUUCGUGAUUUAGAAGAUGACAACAAUGGUUGGGUAAGGGGUGGAGUUGAUGGUAUAGAAAUCGUUACGGACUAAAAUUUCAAAUUCCUCCAAUUGAAGGCCAUGUUUUUGGGAGGUAGAACAUUGAGAUUAUGUCAGUGGCAUACUCAUUCAAAUGGUGAGCUUGUUCAAGGAAUGACACACUGAUCCAGAAAGCUGUCACAUUUUGCAUUAGGGAACAAACACUGGCUUAAUUGCCUUAUUUUCUCCAUUGUUGAACGCAUUUUUUCUAUUUUGAUAAUUCAUAGUUUCUUUUACCACUACAAGAUAAGAAAUUGAAUGUAUUAAGAUUGUUUGUUCUUAUUUUAAGUGAAUGACAUUGUUUUCAGUUUGGUAA